UCCCUGGAGGACUGGUGGUUAGGCCACAGCGCUCUCACUGUUGCGGCCCGGGUUCGAUUCCUGACCAGGGAA
rnacentral:tRNA from 1 species